UACAUGCAAGUCGAACGCUUCUUUCCUCCCGAGUGCUUGCACUCAAUUGGAAAGAGGAGUGGCGGACGGGUGAGUAACACGUGGGUAACCUACCCAUCAGAGGGGGAUAACACUUGGAAACAGGUGCUAAUACCGCAUAACAGUUUAUGCCGCAUGGCAUAAGAGUGAAAGGCGCUUUCGGGUGUCGCUGAUGGAUGGACCCGCGGUGCAUUAGCUAGUUGGUGAGGUAACGGCUCACCAAGGCCACGAUGCAUAGCCGACCUGAGAGGGUGAUCGGCCACACUGGGACUGAGACACGGCCCAGACUCCUACGGGAGGCAGCAGUAGGGAAUCUUCGGCAAUGGACGAAAGUCUGACCGAGCAACGCCGCGUGAGUGAAGAAGGUUUUCGGAUCGUAAAACUCUGUUGUUAGAGAAGAACAAGGACGUUAGUAACUGAACGUCCCCUGACGGUAUCUAACCAGAAAGCCACGGCUAACUACGUGCCAGCAGCCGCGGUAAUACGUAGGUGGCAAGCGUUGUCCGGAUUUAUUGGGCGUAAAGCGAGCGCAGGCGGUUUCUUAAGUCUGAUGUGAAAGCCCCCGGCUCAACCGGGGAGGGUCAUUGGAAACUGGGAGACUUGAGUGCAGAAGAGGAGAGUGGAAUUCCAUGUGUAGCGGUGAAAUGCGUAGAUAUAUGGAGGAACACCAGUGGCGAAGGCGGC
rnacentral:rRNA from 1 species